UUGUGAGGUUAAGCGACUAAGCGUACACGGUGGAUGCCCUGGCAGUCAGAGGCGAUGAAGGACGUGCUAAUCUGCGAUAAGCGUCGGUGAGGUGAUAUGAACCGUUAUAACCGGCGAUUUCCGAAUGGGGAAACCCAGUGUGUUUCGACACACUAUCAUUAACUGAAUCCAUAGGUUAAUGAGGCGAACCGGGGGAACUGAAACAUCUAAGUACCCCGAGGAAAAGAAAUCAACCGAGAUUCCCCCAGUAGCGGCGAGCGAACGGGGAGGAGCCCAGAGCCUGAAUCAGUGUGUGUGUUAGUGGAAGCGUCUGGAAAGGCGUGCGAUACAGGGUGACAGCCCCGUACACAAAAAUGCACAUACUGUGAGCUCGAUGAGUAGGGCGGGACACGUGGUAUCCUGUCUGAAUAUGGGGGGACCAUCCUCCAAGGCUAAAUACUCCUGACUGACCGAUAGUGAACCAGUACCGUGAGGGAAAGGCGAAAAGAACCCCGGCGAGGGGAGUGAAAAAGAACCUGAAACCGUGUACGUACAAGCAGUGGGAGCCUCUUAAUGGGGUGACUGCGUACCUUUUGUAUAAUGGGUCAGCGACUUAUAUUCUGUAGCAAGGUUAACCGAAUAGGGGAGCCGAAGGGAAACCGAGUCUUAACUGGGCGUUAAGUUGCAGGGUAUAGACCCGAAACCCGGUGAUCUAGCCAUGGGCAGGUUGAAGGUUGGGUAACACUAACUGGAGGACCGAACCGACUAAUGUUGAAAAAUUAGCGGAUGACUUGUGGCUGGGGGUGAAAGGCCAAUCAAACCGGGAGAUAGCUGGUUCUCCCCGAAAGCUAUUUAGGUAGCGCCUCGUGAAUUCAUCUCCGGGGGUAGAGCACUGUUUCGGCAAGGGGGUCAUCCCGACUUACCAACCCGAUGCAAACUGCGAAUACCGGAGAAUGUUAUCACGGGAGACACACGGCGGGUGCUAACGUCCGUCGUGAAGAGGGAAACAACCCAGACCGCCAGCUAAGGUCCCAAAGUCAUGGUUAAGUGGGAAACGAUGUGGGAAGGCCCAGACAGCCAGGAUGUUGGCUUAGAAGCAGCCAUCAUUUAAAGAAAGCGUAAUAGCUCACUGGUCGAGUCGGCCUGCGCGGAAGAUGUAACGGGGCUAAACCAUGCACCGAAGCUGCGGCAGCGACACUAUGUGUUGUUGGGUAGGGGAGCG
rnacentral:rRNA from 1 species